AACGAACGCUGGCGGCAGGCCUAACACAUGCAAGUCGAACGCUGUAGCAAUACAGAGUGGCAGACGGGUGAGUAACGCGUGGGAACCUUCCCAGUGGUACGGAAUAGCUCAGGGAAACUUGAGGUAAUACCUUAUACGCCCUUUGGGGGACAGAUUUAUCGGGGUUUGAUGAGCCCGCGUUGGAUUAGCUAGUUGGUGGGGUAAAGGCCUACCAAGGCGACGAUCCAUAGCUGGUCUGAGAGGAUGAUCAGCCACAUUGGGACUGAGACACGGCCCAGACUCCUACGGGAGGCAGCAGUGGGGAAUAUUGGACAAUGGGCGCAAGCCUGAUCCAGCCAUGCCGCGUGAGUGAUGAAGGCCCUAGGGUUGUAAAGCUCUUUCACCGGUGAAGAUAAUGACGGUAACCGGAGAAGAAGCCCCGGCUAACUUCGUGCCAGCAGCCGCCGCAGUAA
rnacentral:rRNA from 1 species